CCUACGGGAGGCAGCAGUGAGGAAUAUUGGUCAAUGGACGAGAGUCUGAACCAGCCAAGUAGCGUGAAGGAUGACUGCCCUAUGGGUUGUAAACUUCUUUUAUAAAGGAAUAAAACGAGGCACGUGUGCCUUUUUGCAUGUACUUUAUGAAUAAGGAGCGGCUAAGUACGUGCCAGCAGCCGCGGUAAUACGGAGGGUCCGAGCGUUAUCCGGAUUUAUUGGGGUUAAAGGGAGCGUAGAUGGGUUGUUAAGUCAGUUGUGAAAGUUUGCGGCUCAACCGUAAAAUUGCAAUUGAUAAUGGCAGUGUUGAGUACAGUUGAGGUAGGCGGAAUUCGUGGUGUAGCGGUGAAAUGCUUAGAUAUCACGAAGAACUCCGAUUGCGAAGGCAGCUCACUGGACUGCAACUGACACUGAGGCUCGAAAGUGUGGGUAUCAAACAGGAUUAGAUACCCCUGUAGUC
rnacentral:rRNA from 1 species